rnacentral:rRNA from 1 species
AGAUUGAACUGAAGAGUUUGAUCCUGGCUCAGAUUGAACGCUGGCGGGAUGCUUUACACAUGCAAGUCGGACGGCAGCACGGGCUUCGGCCUGGUGGCGAGUGGCGAACGGGUGAGUAAUGUAUCGGAACGUGCCCAGUAGCGGGGGAUAACUACGCGAAAGCGUGGCUAAUACCGCAUACGCCCUACGGGGGAAAGCGGGGGACCUUCGGGCCUCGCACGGAGCGGCCGAUAUCGGAUUAGCUAGUUGGUGGGGUAACGGCCUACCAAGGCGACGAUCCGUAGCUGGUUUGAGAGGACGACCAGCCACACUGGGACUGAGACACGGCCCAGACUCCUACGGGAGGCAGCAGUGGGGAAUUUUGGACAAUGGGGGCAACCCUGAUCCAGCCAUCCCGCGUGUGCGAUGAAGGCCUUCGGGUUGUAAAGCACUUUUGGCAGGAAAGAAACGGCACGGGCUAAUAUCCUGUGCAACUGACGGUACCUGCAGAAUAAGCACCGGCUAACUACGUGCCAGCAGCCGCGGUAAUACGUAGGGUGCAAGCGUUAAUCGGAAUUACUGGGCGUAAAGCGUGCGCAGGCGGUUCGGAAAGAAAGAUGUGAAAUCCCAGGGCUUAACCUUGGAACUGCAUUUUUAACUACCGGGCUAGAGUGUGUCAGAGGGAGGUGGAAUUCCGCGUGUAGCAGUGAAAUGCGUAGAUAUGCGGAGGAACACCGAUGGCGAAGGCAGCCUCCUGGGAUAACACUGACGCUCAUGCACGAAAGUGUGGGGAGCAAACAGGAUUAGAUACCCUGGUAGUCCACGCCCUAAACGAUGUCAACUAGCUGUUGGGGCCUUCGGGCCUUGGUAGCGCAGCUAACGCGUGAAGUUGACCGCCUGGGGAGUACGGUCGCAAGAUUAAAACUCAAAGGAAUUGACGGGGACCCGCACAAGCGGUGGAUGAUGUGGAUUAAUUCGAUGCAACGCGAAAAACCUUACCUACCCUUGACAUGUCUGGAAUCCCGAAGAGAUUUGGGAGUGCUCGCAAGAGAACCGGAACACAGGUGCUGCAUGGCUGUCGUCAGCUCGUGUCGUGAGAUGUUGGGUUAAGUCCCGCAACGAGCGCAACCCUUGUCAUUAGUUGCUACGAAAGGGCACUCUAAUGAGACUGCCGGUGACAAACCGGAGGAAGGUGGGGAUGACGUCAAGUCCUCAUGGCCCUUAUGGGUAGGGCUUCACACGUCAUACAAUGGUCGGGACAGAGGGUUGCCAACCCGCGAGGGGGAGCCAAUCCCAGAAACCCGGUCGUAGUCCGGAUCGCAGUCUGCAACUCGACUGCGUGAAGUCGGAAUCGCUAGUAAUCGCGGAUCAGCAUGUCGCGGUGAAUACGUUCCCGGGUCUUGUACACACCGCCCGUCACACCAUGGGAGUGGGUUUUACCAGAAGUAGUUAGCCUAACCGCAAGGGGGGCGAUUACCACGGUAGGAUUCAUGACUGGGGUGAAGUCGUAACAAGGUAGCCGUAUCGGAAGGUGCGGCUGGAUCACCUCCUUU